rnacentral:pre_miRNA from 1 species
AGCCUUCUGUAUCUGUGCUGAGAUUUCGUCAGCGAUCAACCCAUUGGCACUGGUUGAUGAAACUUCCGAAUAAGUGAAGUG